AAUGGCAACAUAGAUUUUCACCAUUAUUAAAGGUUUACAAAUCUUAGUAAAUCUAAAAUAUUAGGUAUGCAUGAAGGUUAACUAUGUUAGUAUGUAGAAAUGAGGAAAGUGUCAUGUUAUAAAAGAAUGAGGGGGUGAAAAUGUAAAAUGUGUAAAUAAAACACUUAAUAAAAAUGGCCAGUGCUUGGAAAGUGUGGGGUGUGCGAUCGAGAAGAAAGACCAGGGGAAACCUUCCCCACAAAACCCUAACCACAUCAAAUUCAUCAAAUUAAAGAGGGAAUCCAGCCUAAUUCUACUGCAUGUGCAAGGAUUCUUGAUCAUCUAGCCUUACAAAUCACUUGGAUAGGGAUCACAUUAGCAUGGACUCAAGAACGGAAUGAUAACGGGUCAAGAGGAGGCGAGGAAUCGGAUACGAGCACGGAACCAUAAGGUGGUACGAGUCACGGAGGAUCAUCAAGGAAUAAAGAUUGAGGGUCGAGUCACUUGAGGGAUUGUACGGGGUUGUCUAAGGAUGUAAUUUAUUGUACAUAAGCUGUCAAUUAUUUUAUAAUUGAGUCAGUUUGUUGUAUUUAAUAUAAAAGAGUUAUUUUCUAAAAAAAAAAGUGAACUUUCAAGUAAGAAGUAUGGUUUAUAAUGUAAGAAGUUUUAUGGCAAGGACUUCCGCUGCGAC